rnacentral:lncRNA from 1 species
CUAUGAUUUCCUAAUGUAGAAGAGGUGACGGGAAAAAACGAGAAAGGAGCUAUCAGCCAUCAAAACAGACGAGUUUGAAAAAUGUGUAGAAGAACGGAAUCGCAGAUUGGACAAGUGUAUUAAGUGUAAU